rnacentral:rRNA from 1 species
UACGGAGGGUGCGAGCGUUGUCCGGAAUCACUGGGCGUAAAGGGCGCGUAGGCGGCCUGGUAAGCAGGGGGUGAAAUCCUGCGGCUUAACCGCAGGGCUGCCUUCUAAACUGUCAGGCUGGAGCACAGUAGAGGCAGGUGGAAUUCCCGGUGUAGCGGUGGAAUGCGUAGAGAUCGGGAAGAACACCCGUGGCUAAGGCGGCUCUCUAGUACGGUACUGACGCUGAGAC